ACAAACCGGAGAAGGUGGGGAUGACGUCAAGUCCGUCAUGGCCCUUAUGGGUAGGCUUCACACGUCAUACAAUGGUCGGUACAGAGGGUUGCCAAGCCGCGAGGUGGAGCCAAUCCCUUAAAGCCGAUCGUAGUCCGGAUCGUAGUCUGCAACUCGACUACGUGAAGUCGGAAUCGCUAGUAAUCGCAGAUCAGCAUGCUGCGGUGAAUACGUUCCCGGGUCUU
rnacentral:rRNA from 1 species